AUUGGUUGCCGUCCAAGAUUAGCUGGAUACAUAGAUCUGAGCUUGGGGAGCCGCAAGCGGCAUGAUGGUUGGAAGAGUAAGACGGGGACUGCUCACCUGGAGUUUUCCCAUUGACUUGUGAACGCUGCACACACACAUAAGGCAAGCCCCGCCCCCCGGCCGUUAAUAGGCUCUGAGUUCACCUUUACUGCCACACCCAGACACGGACUGUCUUCAUCUCUCAGGUAUGGCCAAGUGAGACAAGGACAAAAGAGCCAUUUGGUCUACCUGCCUCACCUAUCUUGGACUCCUGCAACAAAAUGAUUUGAGGCAAAGUCUUGGUCUAAUUAAUUGAUGAGCUAUAUGUAUAGCAGACAAGAGAACCCUGGUCAAUGGAACCCCAAAGUCUGUGGAGACUGAUAAAAUAUCCAGCGGAGAUGUUCCAAGAAGACUGAUGUACAAACUGGCCAGACCCUUUACAAAGGCGUGUGUACAUAGCUAUGAAAAGUAUGGUGUCACUCAAGGUCACAAGCUCAAAUUGGUCGGAGUCCGCAAAGAGACGGGAGUCAUUACCUCGUUUGGUUGCUUAGCAGGGUUGAGCCAGCAAAUUAGCCACUUCCACGGAAGUUCUGCUGUACUGGCGUCCUACCCUAGUUAGCAUCUCAUCUCGCUUCUUGAUCACCAGCCUCAGAGAGAAAUGCCUGCCAGGACCUCGUGACCAUGAAUGUGCUGCCUUUGAAACAAAUCAAAACAACCAAACCAUUCCAAUGACGAUAAUAAUAACAACCCACCUGCAACAGUAACUGAAGAGGCAAGAAUGCAUCCUAGGCCUUGAAAGAGUCUUUCUUGGGCCCUAUCUCCUAGUAAGGAAGCCCAGGCAGAUCAUAAAAAGUCACAUGGAGAAGAAUCAGGGGCCCUUCCCCUGACUGAGCUCUUAGUCGGCAGCUAAUUGCACUUCUCUGGCCGUAUGAGUGACUCAUCGUGAAGCAGGUCUUGGUGCUCCAGUGCAGCUGCCGAAGAUGGUCUCUCGGGAACAGUUACGGAUCUCCCACGUACCAGAUCCCUGUUCAAACUUCCCAACUCGUGUGAGGUGGCACAUUUGCAGACCCAGUAGUGAGGAAGCUGAGGCAGGAGAAGAAAGAAUUCAAGGCCAACCUAACCGACAGUGAGAGCUCCAGACCACCCAGGGAGAUGUAGUGGGAGCACCUGUCUCAAACAAAUACAAAGUAACAAACAACAACAACAAAAA